UCUCCUACGGGAGGCAGCAGUGGGGAAUAUUGGACAAUGGGGGGAACCCUGAUCCAGCGACGCCGCGUGAGUGAAGAAGUAUUUCGGUAUGUAAAGCUCUGUCAGCAGGGAAGAAAAUGACGGUACCUGACUAAGAAGCCCCGGCUAACUACGUGCCGGCAGCCGCGGUAAUACGUAGGGGGCAAGCGUUAUCCGGAUUUACUGGGUGUAAAGGGAGCGUAGACGGGGCAGCAAGUCUGAUGUGAAAGGCCGGGGCCCAACCCCGGGACUGCAUGGGAAGCUGUGGACA
rnacentral:rRNA from 1 species